AAAAAGGUGGUAAUGCCGGAUGCUCCGACUCCUCGCAUGGGGUGUCGGGAAAGAUUUCAUCGGUAUGGGAUGGGGUCGCGUCCUAUCAGGUAGUCGGCGGGGUAACGGCCCACCGAGCCUACGACGGGUAGCCGGCCUGAGAGGGCGACCGGCCACAUUGGGACUGAGAUACGGCCCAGACUCCUACGGGAGGCAGCAGUGGGGAAUAUUGCACAAUGGGCGCAAGCCUGAUGCAGCGACGCCGCGUGCGGGAUGACGGCCUUCGGGUUGUAAACCGCUUUUGAUCGGGAGCAAGCCUUCGGGUGAGUGUACCUUUCGAAUAAGCACCGGCUAACUACGUGCCAGCAGCCGCGGUAAUACGUAGGGUGCAAGCGUUAUCCGGAAUUAUUGGGCGUAAAGGGCUCGUAGGCGGUUCGUCGCGUCCGGUGUGAAAGUCCAUCGCUUAACGGUGGAUCUGCGCCGGGUACGGGCGGGCUGGAGUGCGGUAGGGGAGACUGGAAUUCCCGGUGUAACGGUGGAAUGUGUAGAUAUCAAA
rnacentral:rRNA from 1 species